UACGUAGGGGGCAAGCGUUGUCCGGAAUCAUUGGGCGUAAAGAGCGCGUAGGCGGUCCGGUAAGUCCGCUCUGAAAGCCCGGGGCUCAACCCCGGGAGGCGGGCGGAUACUGUCGGGCUAGAGUCCGGAAGAGGCGAGUGGAAUUCCUGGUGUAGCGGUGAAAUGCGUAGAUAUGUGGAAGAACACCGGUGGUGAAGACGGUUUUCUGGGCCAAUCCUGACGCUGAGGCGCGAAAGCUAGGGGAGCAAACAGGG
rnacentral:rRNA from 1 species